GUGCCAGCAGCCGCGGUAAUACAGAGGGUGCGAGCGUUAAUCGGAUUUACUGGGCGUAAAGCGUGCGUAGGCGGCUUCUUAAGUCGGAUGUGAAAUCCCUGAGCUUAACUUAGGAAUUGCAUUCGAUACUGGGAAGCUAGAGUAUGGGAGAGGAUGGUAGAAUUCCAGGUGUAGCGGUGAAAUGCGUAGAGAUCUGGAGGAAUACCGAUGGCGAAGGCAGCCAUCUGGCCUAAUACUGACGCUGAGGUACGAAAGCAUGGGGAGCAAACAGGAUUAGAUACCCUGGUAGUCCAUGCCGUAAACGAUGUCUACUAGCCGUUGGGGCCUUUGAGGCUUUAGUGGCGCAGCUAACGCGAUAAGUAGACCGCCUGGGGAGUACGGUCGCAAGACUAAAACUCAAAUGAAUUGACGGGGGCCCGCACAAGCGGUGGAGCAUGUGGUUUAAUUCGAUGCAACGCGAAGAACCUUACCUGGUCUUGACAUAGUAAGAACUUUCCAGAGAUGGAUUGGUGCCUUCGGGAACUUACAUACAGGUGCUGCAUGGCUGUCGUCAGCUCGUGUCGUGAGAUGUUGGGUUAAGUCCCGCAACGAGCGCAACCCUUUUCCUUAUUUGCCAGCGGGUUAAGCCGGGAACUUUAAAGAUACUGCCAGUGACAAACUGGAGGAAGGCGGGGA
rnacentral:rRNA from 1 species